AGACGUCUACAUUAGAUACCCCUGUAGUCCCAGCCGUAAACUAUGCUCGCUAGGUGUCAGGCAUGGCGCGACCGUGUCUGGUGCCGAAGGGAAACCGUGAAACGUGCCGCCUGGGAAGUACGGUCGCAAGGCUGAAACUUAAAGGAAUUGGCGGGGAGCACCACAACGGGUGGAGCCUGCGGUUUAAUUGGACUCAACGCCGGGAAGCUCACCGGAUAAGACAGCGGAAUGAUUGCCGGGCUGAAGACUCUGCAUGACUAGCUG
rnacentral:rRNA from 1 species